rnacentral:rRNA from 1 species
GUGGGGAAUAUUGGACAAUGGGCGAAAGCCUGAUCCAGCCAUGCCGCGUGUGUGAAGAAGGUCUUCGGAUUGUAAAGCACUUUAAGUUGGGAGGAAGGGCAGUAAGUUAAUACCUUGCUGUUUUGACGUUACCGACAGAAUAAGCACCGGCUAACUUCGUGCCAGCAGCCGCGGUAAUACGAAGGGUGCAAGCGUUAAUCGGAAUUACUGGGCGUAAAGCGCGCAUAGGUGGUUUUGUAAGUUGGAGGUGAAAUCCCCGGGCUCAACCUGGGAACUGCCUCCAAAACUGCAUGACUAGAGUACGGUAGAGGGUAGUGGAAUUUCCUGUGUAGCGGUGAAAUGCGUAGAUAUAGGAAGGAACACCAGUGGCGAAGGCGACUACCUGGACUGAUACUGACACUGAGGUGCGAAAGCGUGGGGAGCAAACAGGAUUAGAUACCCCAGUAGUCC